UCCCGCUUGCGGGGGUGAUUAGUGGCGAACGGGUGAGUAAUACGUGAGUAACCUGCCCUUGACUCUGGGAUAAGCCUGGGAAACCGGGUCUAAUACUGGAUACGACCUCCUGUCGCAUGGUGGGGGGUGGAAAGGGUUUGACUGGUUUUGGAUGGGCUCACGGCCUAUCAGCUUGUUGGUGGGGUAAUGGCUCACCAAGGCGACGACGGGUAGCCGGCCUGAGAGGGUGACCGGCCACACUGGGACUGAGACACGGCCCAGACUCCUACGGGAGGCAGCAGUGGGGAAUAUUGCACAAUGGGCGCAAGCCUGAUGCAGCGACGCCGCGUGAGGGAUGACGGCCUUCGGGUUGUAAACCUCUUUCAGCAGGGAAGAAGCCACAAGUGACGGUACCUGCAGAAGAAGCGCCGGCUAACUACGUGCCAGCAGCCGCGGUAAUACGUAGGGCGCAAGCGUUGUCCGGAAUUAUUGGGCGUAAAGAGCUCGUAGGCGGUUUGUCGCGUCUGCUGUGAAAGCCCGGGGCUCAACCCCGGGUCUGCAGUGGGUACGGGCAGACUAGAGUGCAGUAGGGGAGACUGGAAUUCCUGGUGUAGCGGUGAAAUGCGCAGAUAUCAGGAGGAACACCGAUGGCGAAGGCAGGUCUCUGGGCUGUUACUGACGCUGAGGAGCGAAAGCAUGGGGAGCGAACAGGAUUAGAUACCCUGGUAGUCCAUGCCGUAAACGUUGGGCACUAGGUGU
rnacentral:rRNA from 1 species